UACGUAGGGGGCAAGCGUUGUCCGGAUUCAUUGGGCGUAAAGAGCUCGUAGGUGGUUUGUCGCGUUGUUCGUGAAAACUCACAGCUCAACUGUGGGCGUGCGGGCGAUACGGGCAGACUGGAGUACUGCAGGGGAGACUGGAAUUCCUGGUGUAGCGGUGGAAUGCGCAGAUAUCAGGAGGAACACCGGUGGCGAAGGCGGGUCUCUGGGCAGUAACUGACGCUGAGGAGCGAAAGCGUGGGGAGCGAACAGG
rnacentral:rRNA from 1 species